rnacentral:rRNA from 1 species
UGGUGGGUAGUUUGACUGGGGCGGUCUCCUCCCAAAGAGUAACGGAGGAGCACGAAGGUUAGCUAAUCACGGUCGGACAUCGUGAGGUUAGUGCAAAGGCAUAAGCUAGCUUGACUGCGAGAGUGACGGCUCGAGCAGGUACGAAAGUAGGUCUUAGUGAUCCGGUGGUUCUGAAUGGAAGGGCCAUCGCUCAACGGAUAAAAGGUACUCCGGGGAUAACAGGCUGAUACCGCCCAAGAGUUCAUAUCGACGGCGGUGUUUGGCACCUCGAUGUCGGCUCAUCACAUCCUGGGGCUGAAGUAGGUCCCAAGGGUAUGGCUGUUCGCCAUUUAAAGUGGUACGCGAGCUGGGUUUAGAACGUCGUGAGACAGUUCGGUCCCUAUCUGCCGUGGGCGUUGGAAGAUUGAGAGGGGCUGCUCCUAGUACGAGAGGACCGGAGUGGACGAAUCACUGGUGUUCGGGUUGUCAUGCCAAUGGCAUUGCCCGGUAGCUAAAUUCGGAAGAGAUAACCGCUGAAAGCAUCUAAGCGGGAAACUUGCCUCGAGAUGA